AUUGAACGCUGGCGGCAGGCCUAACACAUGCAAGUCGAACGAGUGGCGGACGGGUGAGUAAUGCCUGGGAAACUGCCCGAUGGAGGGGGAUAACUACUGGAAACGGUAGCUAAUACCGCAUACAAUAGGAUGUGCCCAGAUGGGAUUAGCUAGUAGGUGGGGUAACGGCUCACCUAGGCGACGAUCCCUAGCUGGUCUGAGAGGAUGAGCAGCCACACUGGAAUUGAGACACGGUCCAGACUCCUACGGGAGGCAGCAGUGGGGAAUAUUGCACAAUGGGCGCAAGCCUGAUGCAGCCAUGCCGCGUGUAUGAAGAAGGCCUUCGGGUUGUAAAGGACUUUCAGCGGGGAGGCGUUACCCGCAGAAGAAGCACCGGCUAACUCCGUGCCAGCAGCCGCGGUAAUUC
rnacentral:rRNA from 1 species